AGAAUAUCUCUCGAUCGUGGGCUGCAACUACGUGUCCUUGCUAACGACGGAAAACAAGGAAAACAAGGCCGCGAUCCAUCUCACGUCGUGCCGCCGUGACAUCUGCACGCCGCCCAAACCAGAUGCCGCCGCCGAUCUAUCCCCCGCUCGCCCUUCCUUCCCGUCGGCCGCCCCCCCAUCCCCCUCCGUCCCUCCCAGACCUGGCCUCCGGCGACCUCCGACGGCAACUGUCGACCAGGAGCAGCGGUUACUCAACCCGCCUCGCCCCUUCGCCCCAGACCUGGCGCCCUGGCGGCAGUCGACUAGCAGCGCUGCAGCGACCCAGCGGCUCCACCAGUUGACCCCUCAAGCUGGAUCCCUCCCCUGAGUCUUGGUAAGUAGAUCGUGGUAAUCAGUUAGGAAUUUCUCGUUCCAGCACGAGCACUUAGCACAACUCACUCUCAAAUUCCUAAUUGGGGAUUUACUUUAUUUUUGAGCUGCAGCUUUGUCCAAUUGUUCUGUAAACUAGUUGAUUGAAUUGAGUGUAAGAGAGUUAUCAGUGAUGCUAGAAUUUGGAAAUUGGACUGAGCAUGGGGAAAAAAGGUACCAUUGCAUCGUACUUCAAAAGAUAAGGCUAACCCUUGGAAACAGCCGCAACUUGCCGAUGCAAGAUAACAGGCGCUGCCUGGCCCUGGCUGCUCACAUUUCUUUGCUUUUCUGCCCUGGUUCUCUCCAUAAUUCGCCUCUCUUAUGGUUACAAAAGUGGCGUCCUGCAUGAUUUGUUUCCCCUAGAACAUUGUAGAAGUUUGUUUUUUUACAGGAGUACAACACUGAGACCCACCGAGUUAUUGUGGAGCUGAUUGUUCCUUUUGACUUCUCACCUAUAAGGAGGCUAGCUACGAAAAUGUUCUAAGGUUUCAUUCUGAAGAAUGUUCCAAGGAAGGCAAGAGGCUGAUUCAUAUUCCUCCUAAGAAAAUAAUUUUUUGCUCUAUGUAUUGUUGGUUCCAGUUCAUCGUCAGUUCUACGGUAUCUUGUGUAUGGUUACCAUCAGUGAUUAUCAGAUCAUAACCUUAUUGGGCUCCUGGUAUUUCUACCAUGAUGGAUAAAUCACUGCAGUGAUAAACUGUACAAAGGGAAAGCGGCUUCAAAAAUAUUUAGGUCAGUCCAAAGUACCCACUUUAAUGAAUCUUUUCUCAUGGCUGUAUUUGACGUUAUAGCUGCAGUCCUCUUUCAUCUUGCCAUUGUCGAAGAAUUUUAUCAAUCAAGUUGCUUAAAAAAUAUACUCUGUUUCUGAAAUUAACACGGGUACAAUUCUUGUAUAGAAUGUUGCUUACUAGUUUUAUUGUUUUGGACUGUUAGUCAAUCGAAUCCUUACAAGAAAGAUUGGGCAGGUGAGGUCACUUCUUCUACUUAGGUGCUCUCAUACAUGGAGAAGCUAUCUCAACCCCAAGCAUUGUGUUUAACUCAGUUUCCCCGUUAUAACUUUGAAUAUGCUUAUUUUACUAGCCGGCCUAUUUCAAGUUGGCUGGAGUUAAACAAAAUUUAAGGGCUGCACCUUUUUAGCUCUCUUAUUAUAAUCCUUUUGUGCAUAUAUAAUAGAUUUAAAGUACACAGGUUAGUUAAGGCAUCAUAGUUAAUUUCUACCUAGCUCAAAUGCUGGCUUGCUACAACUUUUUUCUUUCUCGCUACUAUCAUUUAUCUGUUGCAAUGAGAGUUAACCAAUCAUAACAUUAAGUAGUAUAUUAUUUUAAAAUUUGACUUACCCCUGUUCUGUACCUUCAUAUUUGGAAAUAUUCGUAUGAUUAUGUCAUACAGGACGUGCGCGGCAAUGAGCGCCAUCAUGAUCUAAUUAGAUGAGAAAACAUGUAUCUGCUAGAGACUUGACAAUGUAACUGAAGGAGAAAAAAAUGGAAAUACUAGUCACGCGAAUCUGGAGAACAUUAAGAUACCAGAUAAUUCAAACAAACUGUAUGAUAGCACCGAUCAAUUAAUGAUAAAUAUUUUUCUGAAUGGGAGUGAAACUUGUGCCAGUAGUUCUUUCUCUCAUUUACAUACUACUUCGAAUCCAUUUUAAUCGACGCGGCUAUCAACUAUACAUCUCUGGCCCCAUCUUCACAGGCAAAUGCCAAUUUAAGGCAAUCUUAGGGAGUAUAUUUUUAUCAUCUUCGUGUGGGCCUUAUGCUGGUGUUUUUCUGUCUUAGAAGAGGAGAAGAAAUAGCUUUCUGUAUUACAAUAUUUAUUUACAAGGAUAAUGUCUAUUUCGUGCUAAAUUUCGCACUACUUCUGUCUUUACUAGUCUCUACACUAACUAGGUCAGUAUUUGUCUGUGUUAUUGAGCUUAAAACUCCAAUAGCCCCAUGUUAAAACAAUUUUUGUAUUGUGUGUUACAGAUUAUUUUACUACUAUAAUAAGUUAGCUUUCAGCUAUACGACUUCAGGAUAUACACCUUACUUCACUGGAUGAUACACGGAAUGAAGAUAUUUUGUCUGUUAGACUAUAGUUGGAAAAAAUUGAGCAACACAUGAAAAACCAAGAUGCUAAAAUUCUAGAGUUAAAUGAGAAGUUGUUGAACUGUGAAAGAUAGGUAAAUUUAAGAAACUUUGCCAUUGUUCAAUACAUGUACUAAUUUUUUUAUUGGUCAUUGUGUUCUGGGUCAGAUAUCUACAACCCGAGAUGCUCUUGGUAUUGCCCAGACAAACUCAAAAAGGAAAGUAAGUAUCAUUAGAUCGGUCAAAGUCAUUUACAUAAAUAUAUUCAUAUUUGUUUUUUGAUCUGCAGAGAGUAUAUGGUGAUCUUCGUAGUCAACAACUUGGAACUAUUGGAAAGGAGAAUAAACAUCCUGCUACACAAAAGGUUUGCACAUUUAUAUCAUUAUAGUUUUUGCAAUCUUACAAUAUAUGUACUGUCAUAGAACAAAGAAACUUUGGUCCAAGAUGAAAAUGUGCAACCUGGACAAGGAAGUGCUAGUGCAGAAAAGGACCUGAACAUCAACCCCAACACAAUGACACACUUGAACGUUGUAAGGUUUCUCUGCACACAUGCAUGGUGGCAAGAACAGUGGAAGGUGUUAGAAUUGGAAAUCAAUUCGGGGCAGUGCACGUUGAUGCUACAUUACGAAAAUCCGAUGAGUUGAUACGACCGCUCAAAAAGAUCAAGAUUAUUGGUCAUGCAGCAGGAUUAACAAUCGCAUGGCCUUCAACCUCAAUUUUCAAGAUAAAUUGGUGAUGCUUGGUUGAGAUGUUGAUUGCAAGAUGAAGACUGAUACUACUACUGGAUAGCUUACAUUACUUUUCGUAUGUAAUUUUAAUCGCCAAUGUUGGGAAGAGAACAUUAUAUAUUUGUAUAAUAGUGCAAGUACCAGCCAGUUCACGUUCUUUGAAUAUUUUUCUUUGUUAUUGAACACAGUCAAAACAUUAUAUGAAAUACUUCUGUUUCCUA